rnacentral:rRNA from 1 species
CCUACGGGUGGCAGCAGUGAGGAAUAUUGGUCAAUGGGCGCGAGCCUGAACCAGCCAAGUAGCGUGAAGGAUGAAGGCCCUACGGGUUGUAAACUUCUUUUAUAAAGGAAUAAAGUGAGGCACGUGUGCAUUUUUGUAUGUACUUUAUGAAUAAGGAUCGGCUAACUCCGUGCCAGCAGCCGCGGUAAUACGGAGGAUCCGAGCGUUAUCCGGAUUUAUUGGGUUGAAAUGGAGCGUAGUUGGGUUGUUAAGUCAGUGGUGAAAGUUUGCGGCUCAACCGUAAAAUUGCCAUUGAUACUGGCAGCCUUGAGUACAUUUGAGGUCGGCGGACUUCGUGGUGUAGCGGU